ACGUAGGAUGCGAGCGUUGUCCGGAAUUAUUGGGUUUAAAGGGUGCGUAGGCGGCUGUUUAAGUCAGAGGUGAAAUCCCCGGGCUUAACGCGAGGAUUGCCAUUGAUACUGAAGAGCUUGAGUUCAGUAGAGGUAAGCGGAAUGCGUAGUGUAGCGGUGAAAUGCUUAGAUAUUACACAGAACACCGAUUGCGAAGGCAGCUUACUGAACUGACACUGACGCUGAGGCACGAAAGCGUGGGGAUCAAACAG
rnacentral:rRNA from 1 species